rnacentral:misc_RNA from 1 species
GCAUGAUAGGAGCGCAGUUUUUGCUGGACAUGAGACCACGAAGGUCCCGACGAGCCUUCUCUAUCUCCUUUAAAUACUCUGCAUCCACUAAUGGUGCUGCCAUUUGUGCAAUUAGAAAAGAAACCAAAAACAGAGCCUCGCUUGACGAUCAAGUCGAAGAAGGAGAAGAAGCCAGAACAAAAGAAAUGGGCAUUAGAAGGUUUUAUAUACGUGAUUAUAUAGAUAUAGAAAUUGAAGGAUGGAACAUAAUAGAAUCGAAGGGAAGGCGUCG